CACGUAGGGCGCAAGCGUUGUCCGGAAUUAUUGGGCGUAAAGAGCUCGUAGGCGGACUGUCACGUCUGCUGUGAAAAGCUGGGGCUUAACCCUGGCCUUGCAGUGGAUACGGGCAGACUAGAGGUAGGUAGGGGAGAAUGGAAUUCCCGGUGUAGCGGUGAAAUGCGCAGAUAUCGGGAGGAACACCGGUGGCGAAGGCGGUUCUCUGGGCCUUACCUGACGCUGAGGGGCGAAAGCGUGGGGAGCGAACAGG
rnacentral:rRNA from 1 species